rnacentral:SRP_RNA from 1 species
GUGUGCUAGGCGGGAAGGUAGCGGCGUCCUGUAACCCACAAUCCGCUAUAGUGGGGCUGAAUUCCUGUUUGAGAAUAGUGAUUUCUUUUGUAGUAUUAAUAAGUGGUGUUGAGAGUCAAGCCCAGCGCAAUUGUGAGCUAUGAACUGUGUCAGAUCCGGAAGGGAGCAGCACUAAAUAGUUAUCACGAUGUGCCGCUGGUCUACUUGAUUUGAGUUGGCUGUUAAUUUCUGCUCUAGAAUAGGUAUCGAUUGCAGGUGCACAC